rnacentral:rRNA from 1 species
AGAGUUUGAUCCUGGCUCAGAGUGAACGUUGGCGGCGUGCCUAACACAUGCAAGUCGAACGCGUCUUGGGGGUAACUCCAAGAUGAGUGGCGAACGGGUGAGUAACACGUGGGCAAUCUCCCCUCGAGUGAGGAAUAAGCCCCCGAAAGGGGGUCUAAUACCGCAUGAUGCCAUGGGGCAUAAGCUUCCAUGGUUAAAGCCGUAAGGCGCUUGAGGAUGAGCCUGCGUCCUAUUAGCUAGUUGGUAGGGUAACGGCCUACCAAGGUUAUAAUGGGUAGCCGGCCUGAGAGGGCGAUCGGCCACACUGGGACUGAGACACGGCCCAGACUCCUACGGGAGGCAGCAGUGAGGAAUUUUGCGCAAUGGGGGAAACCCUGACGCAGCGACGCCGCGUGGAGGAAGAAGGCCUUCGGGUCGUAAACUCCUGUCAGAGGAGAAGAAGUCCUGAGCAAUCAGGAUUGACGGUAUCCUCAGAGGAAGCCCCGGCCAACUACGUGCCAGCAGCCGCGGUAAUACGUAGGGGGCAAACGUUGCUCGGAAUUACUGGGCGUAAAGGGUGUGUAGGUGGCUGAGCAAGUCAAAGAUGAAAUCCCAAGGCUCAACUUUGGAACCGUUUUUGAAACUGCUCAGCUUGAGGAUAGUUGAAGAGAAUGGAAUUCCCGGUGGAGCGGUGAAAUGCGUAGAUAUCGGGAGGAACACCUGAGGCGAAAGCGAUUCUCUAAGCUACUCCUGACACUGAAACACGAAAGCUAGGGGAGCAAACGGGGAUUAGAUACCCCGGUAGUCCUAGCCUUAAACGA